AGUUUGUACGAGCAAGCGCAAGCAAUUACACUAGACAGCUGUUGAAAUCCAUUGUGGGUCCAACGUUACUUUAGAUUGGUAAAUAAUAAUUUUUAUUUUACUCUUGUACCGGAAUAUCAUAUUUUGCAUAAUCUGCAGUGUAUAAGAGUUCGUUUUGUAAUAUUUAUGCCAGAUGGUCAUGUCAGCCUGCUGAUACUUUCAGAUUGACAUGAGGAAGUUAGCUUUUUGCCAGCUGGAUAUCAGUGCUCUCAGAACCACGUUGUGGAGUUGAUGAGUACAUUAUUUGAAGCGCCGUCACCGUGGAUCAGAUAGUGAAGAGAUACGGCCCUGAGAGAGCUGUGACGAUCACACUGAACACAAUGAGGAGGAUGGACCUGGGUAUGAUCUUGCUAAGAAGUUAGAGAGAGAUCACAUGAGAUGGUGGAUGUGACUUCCUGUCUGUAGCCCAUGUGACUGAUGACAAAGUGGAGUUUCUCCCUCCUCAUGAGACAACAGACACACAUGUCAUAAUAAAUAUCACUGGAUCCUCUGCUUAUGGUGAUGUCACGGAUGAUGAUGCUCCCAUCUCCCCUAUCCACAGGCUUCUGUUAUUCUACCAACCGUUUCUCUGAAGAGAGGUCCAUCCUGAAUGUGUUGUUACCUCCCUGAUCACAACAUUUCUGGGAAGCAAGCAUGAGUAAGGUUUUCAAAUCCCACUUCUAUCUGGCUGGAAUUCCAUCAAGCUGGGAGUGUCAAAGACAUAAAAUAGAAAAAGUACAUGAUGGGCAAGUGAUUUAGCUUGGAGUUUGCACAACAUGUGUAUUUGAUUGAAGCACAAAUGUAUCUGUCCAUUGUCGAUUCUCAAGGUGCAAUAGGAGAGGAAGGGAAGGAAUGGAAACAAAGAAACCAUUGAAACAAAUCCUCACUGCAAUCUAACCCUGAAGAAAGCAUACAUCCUCUCCACAGAUAUUACAGAUGGAUAUAGGAUCACCCCAACAGUAAUUAAUAUCUAUAAGUCAAAAAGAGAUUACAACUUCAGAUAUUUCUUUAACUGUGAGCUCAGUAUCUUCACACUUCAUGUAAGAUUGUAGAUACUGACUCUGGCUUUGUGUUCCAGACAGCAGAAUUUAUGGAUUUCAAAUCCUAUGAAAACUACUUCCCCACAUUUCAGUUGUCAUGAUUGAUUGCCAACAAGGGUUUUGUCACCAAGUACUAAGUCAUGUUUUGCAGAGG
rnacentral:lncRNA from 1 species